rnacentral:misc_RNA from 1 species
GAUGAAGAACGCAGCGAAAUGCGAUAAGUAGUGUGAGUUGCAGAAUUCAGUGAAUCAUCGAAUCUUUGAACGCGCAUUGCGCCCUUUGGUAUUCCUUAGGGCAUGCCUGUUCGAGCGUCAUUUAAACCUUCAAGCUAAGCUUGGUGUUGGGUGACUGUCCGCUUCACGGCGGACUCGCCUCAAAAUUAUUGGCGGCCGGUACAUUGGCUUCGAGCGCAGCAGAAACGCGAACUCGGGCCCGUCGUAUUGGCUCCCAGAAGCUAUCUUCACAAUUUUGACCUCGGAUCAGGUAGGGAUACCCGCUGAACUUAAGCAUAUCAAUAAGCGGAGGA